GAUGAACGCUGGCGGCGUGCCUAAUACAUGCAAGUCGAGCGAACAGACGAGGAGCUUGCUCCUCUGACGUUAGCGGCGGACGGGUGAGUAACACGUGGAUAACCUACCUAUAAGACUGGGAUAACUUCGGGAAACCGGAGCUAAUACCGGAUAAUAUAUUGAACCGCAUGGUUCAAUAGUGAAAGACGGUUUUGCUGUCACUUAUAGAUGGAUCCGCGCCGCAUUAGCUAGUUGGUAAGGUAACGGCUUACCAAGGCAACGAUGCGUAGCCGACCUGAGAGGGUGAUCGGCCACACUGGAACUGAGACACGGUCCAGACUCCUACGGGAGGCAGCAGUAGGGAAUCUUCCGCAAUGGGCGAAAGCCUGACGGAGCAACGCCGCGUGAGUGAUGGAGGUCUUCGGAUCGUAAAACUCUGUUGUUAGGGAAGAACAAAUGUGUAAGUAACUAUGCACGUCUUGACGGUACCUAAUCAGAAAGCCACGGCUAACUACGUG
rnacentral:rRNA from 1 species